GAUGAACGCUGGCGGCGUGCUUAACACAUGCAAGUCGAACGAGCCUUCGGGCUAGUGGCGGACGGGUGAGUAACGCGUGGGAAUCUGCCCUCAGGAGGGGGAUAACGGCCGGAAACGGCCGCUAAUACCCCAUAUGCCGAGAGGUGAAAUGAAUUUCGCCUGAGGAUGAGCCCGCGUCUGAUUAGCUAGUUGGUGGGGUAAUGGCCCACCAAGGCGACGAUCAGUAGCUGGUCUGAGAGGAUGAUCAGCCACACUGGGACUGAGACACGGCCCAGACUCCUACGGGAGGCAGCAGUGGGGAAUUUUCCGCAAUGGGCGAAAGCCUGACGGAGCAACGCCGCGUGAGGGAUGAAGGCCUCUGGGCUGUAAACCUCUUUUCUCAAGGAAGAAGACAUGACGGUACUUGAGGAAUAAGCCACGGCUAAUUCCGUGCCAGCAGCCGCGGUAAUACGGGAGUGGCAAGCGUUAUCCGGAAUUAUUGGGCGUAAAGCGUCCGCAGGCGGCCUUGUAAGUCUGUCGUUAAAGCGUGGAGCUUAACUCCAUUUAAGCGAUGGAAACUACAAGGCUUGAGUGUGGUAGGGGCAGAGGGAAUUCCCGGUGUAGCGGUGAAAUGCGUAGAUAUCGGGAAGAACACCAGUGGCGAAGGCGCUCUGCUGGGCCAUAACUGACGCUCAUGGACGAAAGCCAGGGGAGCGAAAGGGAUUAGAUACCCCUGUAGUCCUGGCCGUAAACGAUGAACACUAGGUGUCGGGGGAAUCGACCCCCUCGGUGUCGUAGCUAACGCGUUAAGUGUUCCGCCUGGGGAGUACGCACGCAAGUGUGAAACUCAAAGGAAUUGACGGGGGCCCGCACAAGCGGUGGAGUAUGUGGUUUAAUUCGAUGCAACGCGAAGAACCUUACCAGGGUUUGACAUCCUGCGAAUCCCUUGGAAACGAGGGAGUGCCUUCGGGAGCGCAGAGACAGGUGGUGCAUGGCUGUCGUCAGCUCGUGUCGUGAGAUGUUGGGUUAAGUCCCGCAACGAGCGCAACCCACGUCUUUAGUUGCCAGCAUUCAGUUGGGCACUCUAGAGAGACCGCCGGUGAUAAACCGGAGGAAGGUGUGGAUGACGUCAAGUCAUCAUGCCCCUUACAUCCUGGGCUACACACGUACUACAAUGCUACGGACAAAGGGUUGCAAGCUCGCGAGAGUUAGCUAAUCCCAUAAACCGUGGCUCAGUUCAGAUCGUAGGCUGCAACUCGCCUACGUGAAGGAGGAAUCGCUAGUAAUCGCAGGUCAGCAUACUGCGGUGAAUACGUUCCCGGGCCUUGUACACACCGCCCGUCACACCAUGGAAGUUGGCCAUGCCCGAAGUCGUUACUCCAACCCUUGUGGAGGAGGACGCCGAAGGUGGGGCUGAUGACUGGGGUGAAGUCGUAACAAGGUAGCCGUACCGGAAGGUGCGGCUGGAUCACCUCCUAA
rnacentral:rRNA from 1 species